UUGUUUAUAUUUAUGAGGGGUUGGACCUGCCCGGUGAUUAGUCAAGUUUUGAAGUUAUAUUAUAAUUAAAAAUUUUUUUAAACGGCUGCAAUUAGUAAUUGUGCUAAGGUAGCGUAAUCAUUUGCCCCUCUAAUUAGGGGAAGGUAUGAAUGGUUUGACGUGGGAAAAGCUGUCUCUUUUGUAAAAGAAGAAGUUUAUUUUUGAGUGAAAAAGCUUAGAUAUUUAUAAAAGACGAGAAGACCCUAUCGAACUUGAAUUAUGUAUUUAAUUUUUUUUAUACAAAAAGUUUAGUUGGGGAAACUUAAAGUUAAAAAGAACGCUUUUUUGUUAUAAAAUGAUCCUGUAUUAUAGAAAAAUGAAAAAGUUACCGUAGGGAUAACAGCGCUUUCUUCUCUGAGAGGACUAAUUAAAGAGUUGGUUGCGACCUCGAUGUUGGAUUAAGGUUUCUUUUUGGGGUAGGGGUUAAAAUAGUAAAACUGUUCGUUUUUUAAAACCUUACAUGAUCUGAGUUCAGACCGGCGW
rnacentral:rRNA from 1 species